rnacentral:rRNA from 1 species
UACGGAGGGGGCGAGUGUUGUUCGGAAUUACUGGGCGUAAAGGGCGCGCAGGCGGCCUGGCAAGUCGAGUGUGAAAUCCCUCGGCUUAACCGAGGAACUGCCUCCCAAACUGCUUGGCUUGAGACCGGGAGAGGUGAGUGGAAUUCCCAGUGUAGCGGUGAAAUGCGUAGAUAUUGGGAGGAACACCAGUGGCGAAGGCGGCUCACUGGACCGGUACUGACGCUGAUGCGCGAAAGCGUGGGGAGCAAACGGG